rnacentral:rRNA from 1 species
GACGAACGCUGGCGGCGUGCUUAACACAUGCAAGUCGAACGGAAAGGCCCUGCUUUUGUGGGGUGCUCGAGUGGCGAACGGGUGAGUAACACGUGAGUAACCUGCCCUUGACUUUGGGAUAACUUCAGGAAACUGGGGCUAAUACCGGAUAGGAGCUCCUGCUGCAUGGUGGUGGUUGGAAAGUUUCGGCGGUUGGGGAUGGACUCGCGGCUUAUCAGCUUGUUGGUGGGGUAGUGGCUUACCAAGGCUUUGACGGGUAGCCGGCCUGAGAGGGUGACCGGCCACAUAGGGACUAGGAUACGGCACAAACUCCUACGGGAGGCAGAAGUGGGGAAUAUUGCACAAUGGGCGGAAGCCUAAUGCAGCAACGCCGCGUGCGGGAUGAAGGCCUUCGGGUUGUAAACCGCUUUCGCCUGUGACGAAGCGUGAGUGACGGUAAUGGGUAAAGAAGCACCGGCUAACUACGUG